UAAACAAAGCAAAUCAGCUCAGUCAGCAUUAGGUAAUACCAGUGGCAUAGUAGCACAGUGAGUAGAGCUGCUGUCUCACAGUUCCAGUAGUCUGGAUUCAAUCCUGACUUCCAGUGCAGUGUGUGUGGAGUUUGCACGUUCUCCAUGAGACCACGUGGGUUUCUUCAGGAUGCUCCAGUUCUUCCCAUGCACCAAAGACUUGCAGUGAUCCUUGGGGUGUGAUCAUCUCAGAAUGCAGGAGCUUCAUUGAGGAGGAUCUGUGGGAACUUCUCAAAUUAGCCUUUGGUUGGACAGUGUGACAUUGGUGCCAGUCAGGCAGGUGAUUGCAUGUAUGGUGCAUAAUGCAGCUAAUGGAAGUUAGAGGGGAGCUGAGGAGGAAUUCUUCACACCAAAGGUGAUUGGAAUCUGGAGUGUGCUAGCUGAAGAGAUGUGCAAGAAGAAGUGCAUGUAUCUGAUCAAAAUCCAGUCGAAUAGAUAUGCUUGUCCAAAAAAUACUGUCCAUUUACAAAGAAACUUCAAUGUGAUGCCAACUUUAAGAAGCCUACAACUGAAGAUUACGUCAGUGCAAUAGUCCUGCACCUGUUUUAUAUUGGCAAGAAGUUUGCCACUGAAGCUUGCAAGCUGCAAUGUAUUUUUAGAGGAUGCACAGAGGAUCCCAGUUAUUCUAGUGAAGACACACCCAUAAUGCUGUUGGAGAGGGAGUUCCAAUGCUGAUGGUGGUGCUUCCACGUGCCUGCUGCUCUUGAGGACUUGGGAGAUGCUGUCAGAGUAGCCUGGAGACACGUCUAGGCUCCUUGUUCAACUCCAAUGGAAAAGUUCAGAAAAGAGGAAUGGCCACCAACGUUCAGAGUUUGUACAGUAUGACCUCGGGGCUGAACAUCUACCAGAAGUUGAGUAGCAAAAGGCCAGGCUCUGAAGCAUAAAAGGGACUUACAUCACUAUUAAAUAAUUCUUUCUUGGAGAAGCAGAUUUCUAAUUAGUUACUGUGGUAACUGUAGAGGACUGGAAGUAAGCCUCAGACAAUGAAAGCUAAGAAGAUGUGUUUCAGAGGAGUAGAGCAUAUUCUUUUGUAUCUGUUAGUUUGUUUUCUGAUUUGCCAUGGUGCGCCCAAAGCAAAAAAAGACCCGCCAUUUGAAAGGACAUUGAUAAAACAGUGGCUUGGGAUUAGCAAAGGAAGAAUGUAACAGACUGCAAUAAAAUUCCCAAGUACUUCAAUGCAGCUUUGCAAUAGUCAUUGCUCAAGGUUAGUUUUAUUAUGGUCGCAUCUUGCCGUUUUUCAAUAAAUUAUAUACAUACAUUUAAAAUUAUUGAAUAAUAGUAGAACACCAAAUUUACAUUGUGGUAAAAAGGAAAAAAUAAAGUAUUGCAUGCUCUUUGUGGUAUUUUGUAUAUCAUAAGUUUCCAGAGCUGGUGCAUGUUAUUUAUUGGUAGUUUAAUGCCUUUAAGAGUACAGCAAUAUAAAUGAUAUAAACUAUUUCCAUACACUUUUCCAGAUACAAUUACAGGUGGAAAAUUGUAU